GCUAGUGAAGACCAAGUCAAGGAAGCAACGUCAUCGGCAUACUGGGGAGUAUUUAAGGGCUUCUCAGUUGGGAUCUUCGGAUCUACUCUAUUAUUGUCAGCCGCUCACUAUGGGGGAGUUCAGUGGGUACGAAAAUUGAAUGCUCCUGCGAGAGUGUUUAUCUGUGCCGCAUCGUCAUUACUAGGAGCGGUUAUACAAGGGGAACGAGAAAUGAAAAAAUACUCAGUUGCUCACUGGCCGCAACCGGCUUGGCUUAAAGAACCAAUAAAAGAAUCAAAAUAAAUUAUGUUAAACCAUAUUAUUGCCUAGGUGCAAAAUAUAAAGUUCUAUCCCUUCUUGUAUUUUCAAUUAUGUAAAUAAAUUUAAAUUGCUUAACAA